GUUUCACAUUGCACAGGUGGCCAAUUUCACCAGUUCCUUGAGCCCUAUCAGUAUCAUUUAUCAGAAACAGCAGAGAAUGCUGCAUGCACUGCGCUAGAGACAUUAAUUCCAGUCGUGUCUACAUUCCUCACUGGCUAAAGGACUUCAAGGUACUUUUCCAAUGUCUUUGCAUUUUACCCAAGCUCUGAGUGAAGCAUGAAUGGCCCUGCCUUCCAUUAUGGGAUUUCCAGGCAUCAGUGUCUUCAGGUAAGAAUGUGAUGGUACUUUCCUGGACCUCAGAAAUCGCAUAGAACAGGCCUGCCCUACCUC
rnacentral:lncRNA from 1 species